GAGUUUUCUAAAAUAUCCAGCCAGAUGAGUUAUUUUCUCAGUGACAAAAGAGACCUUUCUCUUGUCUGUGGAAAGAGAGGACCAGUAGUGUCUCCAGAAUCAGGCCGAACAUCUACGGACCUCUUCUGAGAGCCUCCGUCCACAACGGAUGGGCCACACCGCAGACUGGACACAGCUGAAGCGGGGCAGGGGGUGGGGUGGGGAGGGGAGAAUUCACGGAGGUAACCUGGGCUUCAAUUGGUCUGUCAGCUGCUUUGACUGCUUUGGGCAUCUUUGAAUACAAAAAGCCAUGUCCUCAUCGGACACUGGGAAAGGACAAUCUAUCUGCACAUCCAGCCCUAUGGGCUGGAGUCUCCCAAACGAGGCCAUCGUUUGUUUUUGGCAACUCUGCUCCACCACAAUAUUCAUCAGACUCCUGAGAAAGACGACCGAUGAAGGGAUCCAUAAAUGGUUUCCAGUUUCCUCCCACUGUGUUGACUGGAAGCACUGAGAACGAAAACCGCUUUUCCCUGAAGCCCCGCAAACCGAAGCCAGACCACCCGAGGUACACGUGAGAGAAAAGUGGCCCGGUGAUCUAAGGGCCACUCAGAAAGAUCACCAGAGACACACAGAUAGCUGAACAAGCUGAUCGCAGCCAUCCCGACUGGACAAGCUGCCAUCGGAGCAUCCAGACGUGGACGUGUUCACGGAUGGGGACAGUGUCACGGGUCAAAGACAAGGAAGAGCUGGGUGCAGUGGUGACCCAUCAGC